rnacentral:rRNA from 1 species
UAGGGAAUAUUGGUUAAUGGGCGAAAGCCUGAACCAGCAACGCCGCGUGCACGAUGACGGCCUUCGGGUUGUAAAGUGCUUUUUGGAGGGAAGAGGAAGGACGGUACCUCCAGAAUAAGUCUCGGCUAACUACGUGCCAGCAGCCGCGGUAACACGUAAGAGACAAGCGUUAUUCGGAUUUACUGGGCGUAAAGCGCGUGCAGGCGGUCUGACAAGUUGGAUGUGAAAGCUCCUGGCUUAACUGGGGGAGGUCGUUCAAAACUAUCAGACUAGAGAGUGGUAGAAGAAGGCGGAAUUCCGGGUGUAGUGGUGAAAUGCGUAGAUAUCCGGAGGAACACCAGUGGCGAAAGCGGCCUUCUGGACCAAUUCUGACGCUCAGACGCGAAAGCUAGGGUAGCGAACGG